rnacentral:rRNA from 1 species
UACGUAGGUGGCAAGCGUUGUCCGGAAUUAUUGGGCGUAAAGCGCGCGCAGGCGGUCCUUUAAGUCUGAUGUGAAAGCCCACGGCUCAACCGUGGAGGGUCAUUGGAAACUGGGGGACUUGAGUGCAGGAGAGGAGAGUGGAAUUCCUGGUGUAGCGGUGAAAUGCGCAGAGAUGAGGAGGAACACCGGUGGCGAAGGCGGUCUCUUGGGCCGU